rnacentral:rRNA from 1 species
AACCCUCGCGCGAAAUGAAAGUGAACGGAGGUGGGAGCUCCUUCGGGGGUGCACCAUCGACCGAUCCUGAUGUCUUCGGAUGGAUUUGAGUAUGAGCGUGGCUGUUGGGACCCGAAAGAUGGUGAACUUUGCAUGGAUAGGGUGAAGCCAGAGGAAACUCUGGUGGAGGCUCGCAGCGGUUCUGACGUGCAAAUCGAUCGUCAAAUCAGUGCAAAGGGGCGAAAGACUAAUCGAACCGUCUAGUAGCUGGUUCCUGCCGAAGUUUCCCUCAGGAUAGCAGUAACGAACCCAGUUUUAUGAGGUAGAGCGAAUGAUUAGAGGCCUUGGGGCUGAAACAGCCUUAACCUAUUCUCAAACUUCGAAUAUGUAAGAAGUCCUUGUUACUUAGUUGAACGUGGACGCUCGAAUGUACCGUUACUAGUGGGCCAUUUUUGGUAAGCAGAACUGGCGAUGCGGGAUGAACCGAACGCGAGGUUAAGGUGCCGGAAUGCACGCUCAUCAGACACCACAAAAGGUGUUAGUUCAUCUAGACAGCAGGACGGUGGCCAUGGAAGUCGGAACCCGCUAAGGAGUGUGUAACAACUCACCUGCCGAAUGAACUAGCCCUGAAAAUGGAUGGCGCUCAAGCGUGCUACCCAUACCUCGCCGCCGGGGCAGGAUCGAAGCCCCGGCGAGUAGGCAGGCGCGGCGGUCGGUGACGAA